CCAAAAUACCAAUUUCCGAUUGUUAUGAAAUCGUGCCUAAUUGAUCGGCCAUUCCGAUUAAUCGGUCGACCUCAAGUCUGCACCACACACUCCAUCCAGAAAAGGUGUUGGCAUGGAGAUCUACAUGCGGACAUCUUUCAGCUGACAUGCACUUCUCUCCAUGGAUGAACACAAUGCAAAAAUGCAUACACAUGUGAGCAGGGUUUAGCAUUUUCAGAACACUCUAAAAAUCUGACCUUUCAUUAGGAACCUGUUAAUUUGUUGAGGAACAGGUAUGGCCACUCUAACAUUAGGACCAGGUAUGGUCACCCUAACAUUAGGAACAGGUAUGGUCACCCUAACAUUAGGACCAGGUAUGGUCACCCUAACAUUAGGAACAGGUAUGGUCACCCUAACAUUAGGACCAGGUAUGGUCACCCUAACAUUAGGAACAGGUAUGGUCACCCUAACAUUAGGACCAGGUAUGGUCACCCUAACAUUAGGAACAGGUAUGGUCACCCUAACAUUAGGAACAGGUAUGGUCACCCUAACAUUAGGACCAGGUAUGGUCACCCUAACAUUAGGAACAGGUAUGGUCACCCUAACAUUAGGAACAGGUAUGGUCACCCUAACAUUAGGAACAGGUAUGGUCACCCUAACAUUAGGAACAGGUAUGGUCACCCUAACAUUAGGAACAGGUAUGGUCACCCUAACAUUAGGAACAGGUAUGGCCACCCUAACAUUAGGAACAGGUAUGGUCACCCUAACAUUAGGAACAGGUAUGGUCACCCUAACAUUAGGAACAGGUAUGGUCACCCUAACAUUAGGAACAGGUAUGGUCACCCUAACAUUAGCCUAUGAGGACAGCUUAACCCUUCCAUCAACACAACAGACAAACAAACAUUU